CUGGUCUGAGAGGAUGACCAGCCACACUGGAACUGAGACACGGUCCAGACUCCUACGGGAGGCAGCAGUGGGGAAUAUUGCACAAUGGGCGCAAGCCUGAUGCAGCCAUGCCGCGUGUAUGAAGAAGGCCUUCGGGUUGUAAAGUACUUUCAGCGGGGAGGAAGGCGUUGUGGUU
rnacentral:rRNA from 1 species